AUAUUACUCCCUCCAUCCAGAACUACUUAUCAUAGAAAUGGAUGAUUGUAGAUAUAUUUUAGUUCUAGAUACAUUCAUUUCUUUUCAUUUUUUACGACAAGUAAUUCUGGACGGAGGGAGUAUUUA
rfam:Hordeum vulgare subsp. vulgare, WGS project CAJW01000000 data, contig: morex_contig_456881